GCUGUAUUUUCAGGGGAAAGUUGAAUCCACUAUCGAACAUAUAUUGGAAACCUUUUUAGAAAAUCAUGAGAUAGAUACCACUUUACCCAGGCUAAACCCACUUCAGAUUGUUGAUUUUGUCAGACAUGGCCUCAGCAAACUUUCAGCAUCUUAUGAGUGUUUAGAUGCAAGCAGAACAUGGGUCUGCUACUGGAACCUUCAUUCAUUAGAACUUCUAGAAGUUCCAUUACCAGAUGAAACAAAAAAUGCUGUGAUCUCAUUUUUAAAUUUAUGUCAGAACCCUACAGGGGGAUUUGGUGGCAGACCUUUUCAAUAUUCACA